rnacentral:rRNA from 1 species
AACGAACGCUGGCGGCAGGCUUAACACAUGCAAGUCGAACGACAUAGUGGCAGACGGGUGAGUAACGCGUGGGAACGUGCCCUUCACUACGGAAUAGCUUCUGGAAACGGAAGGUAAUACCGUAUACGCCCUUCGGGGGAAAGAUUUAUCGGUGAAGGAUCGGCCCGCGUUAGAUUAGUUUGUUGGUGGGGUAAUGGCCUACCAAGACUACGAUCUAUAGCUGGUCUGAGAGGAUGAUCAGCCACACUGGGACUGAGACACGGCCCAGACUCCUACGGGAGGCAGCAGUGGGGAAUCUUGCACAAUGGGCGAAAGCCUGAUGCAGCCAUGCCGCGUGAAUGAUGAAGGCCUUAGGGUUGUAAAAUUCUUUCGCCAGGGAUGAUAAUGACAGUACCUGGUAAAGAAGCCCCGGCUAACUUCGUGCCAGCAGCCGCGGUAAUACGAAGGGGGCUAGCGUUGUUCGGAAUUACUGGGCGUAAAGCGCGCGUAGGCGGGCUAUUAAGCCAGAUGUGAAAGCCCGGGGCUCAACCCCGGAAUUGCAUUUGGAACUGGUAGCCUAGAGACCAGGAGAGGUUAGCGGAAUACCGAGUGUAGAGGUGAAAUUCGUAGAUAUUCGGUGGAACACCAGUGGCGAAGGCGGCUAACUGGACUGGUACUGACGCUGAGGCGCGAAAGUGUGGGGAGCAAACAG